GUACUUGUAUGGCGCUUUUCUACCUUCAAGGUACUCAAAGCGCUUUGACACUACUUCCACAUUCACACACUGAUGGAGGGAGCUGCCAUGCAAGGCGCUAACCAGCACCCAUCAGGAGCAAGGGUGAAGUGUCUUGCUCGGACGUGACGAGGUUGUACGAGGUGGGAUUUGAACCAGGGACCCUCGGGUUGCGCACGGCCACUCUGCCACUGCGCCACGCCGUCCCUCACACAUCAACUGCUACUCUGGAACCGGAAGGUCUUAUCUUUGUCCACGUGAUGUCAGAGGAAACAAAAAUGGAGCUUUUUGGCCAUAAUACCAAGUAAUAUGUUUGGAGGAGAAAAAGCCAGACUGAUGCUUCACAGUCUUUCUCCGGCCAGGAAGUCAACUUUUCUUCUUCCAAAUAAACUGGAUCUUUGCUGAUAUCAUAGCCCAGGACCAGAAGGUGGGACUUGCAAUUUGUGGAGGGGGGGCGUGGUCUGCAGGCCUGCAGCGUAGCAAGCAGCCGGAGCGAGACACGAUGUUGGAGUUGGAGCCAGAGAGCGAGGGAGACACGCACAGAGACCAAAAAAGGAACUGGAAAGUCCCAAUUAGACAUUCCCGGAAAGCAAGCCAUCACCCGGUCGAUAAAAGACUUGAUCCAACCUGUCUACCGGGCUGCCGGAGAUCUGUGAGCGCCAGGGGAACCUACCACGCGCAGAGACCUUCACACAGUUCUCUGCCAAAACACCGGGGGCAGUGUUUCCCUGAAAGUGACUCUCGUAGACAUGUGGACAUAAAAUGACGAAGUGGAAAAAUUGGUUCAUGAAUCAGCAGAAAAUAACACAAGAAGAAGAAACAGGAAGUGGACAUCAUGUGGACUAAGAAACCAACCUAAAUAAAUAAAUUAAAUUAAAUAACAAUCAAUGAAUCAAACAAAAUAUAUCCAUAUUGGUGUAUGUUUACCGAUUUGUCAUCAGAAAACCAACAUAUAGAACCAAUGUGUAGAGUCCAUAGUGGAUCUAACAUAAUAGUGAGAGUCCAGUCCAUAGUGGAUCUAACAUAAUAGUGAGAGUCCAGUCCAUAGUGGAUCUAACAUAAUAGUGAGAGUCCAGUCCAUAGUGGAUCUAACAUAAUAGUGAGAGUCCAGUCCAUAGUGGAUCUAACAUAAUAGUGAGAGUCCAGUCCAUAGUGGAUCUAACAUAAUAGUGAGAGUCCAGUCCAUAGUGGAUCUAACAUAAUAGUGAGAGUCCAGUCCAUAGUGGAUCUAACAUAAUAGUGAGAGUCCAGUCCAUAGUGGAUCUAACAUAAUAGUGUGAGAGUCCAGUCCAUAGUGGAUCUAACAUAAUAGUGAGAGUCCAGUCCAUAGUGGAUCUAGCAUAAUAGUGAGAGUCCAGUCCAUAGUGGAUCUAACAUAAUAGUGAGAGUCCAGUCCAUAGUGGAUCUAACAUAAUAGUGAGAGUCCAGUCCAUAGUGGAUCUAACAUAAUAGUGUGAGAGUCCACUCCAUAGUGGAUCUAACAUAAUAGUGUGAGAGUCCAGUCCAUAGUGGAUCUAACAUAAUAGUGUG